rnacentral:lncRNA from 1 species
GAAACUAAAUUUCAAAUUUAGGACCUUAAUUAUUAAUAAUCAAGCUCUUAGCCAGUUACUUACGUAUGGUAAAUUAUUGGACAGGCUCAUGGAUGAUGCGAAGCUUUGAAUUUAUAUUUUUUUUAUCAUAAAAUAAAUCAUACCAUAAAACUACAACAAAUUCAUGAUUUAUCGACAUUUACUCCACAAUAUUUAUUUAAAUCAUGCUAAUUAAUAUAUUUAACAGCAUUACUUGAUAAUUGUCGCUAGAUUUAAUUAUUUAGCAGCAAUUUAUUAAUAAUGUUGCAAAAUAGGAUAAAUUAGCAAUACAAAUUAGUGAAUGCUGCUAAAAUUUCUAACAUUUUAUAAAAAAAUGACACUAAAUGUAAUAAAGUAGCAACACUUAUUACUAAAUGCCACAACAUUUACUUCGCAAUAUUUAUUUAAAUUAUGUAAUUAAAAUAUUUAACAACACUACUUGAUAAUUGCCGCUAGAUUUAAUAAUUUAGCAGCAAUUUAUUAUUAAUGUUGAAAAAUAGGAUAGAUUAGCAAUGCAAAUUAGUGAACACCGCUAAUAAAUGUAAUAAGAAGCGACACUUAUUGCUAAAUAUCGUCACUAAUCAAUAUAUAAUUAUUAAUAUAUCCCUUUUUACUUAAAAUUAAAAUUUUGAAAUUAAAGUUUAAAAAUUCAAAACUUAUAAUUUUAAAAAUUAAACUUAUAAUUUAAAAUUUAAAAUUUUAAAAUAUAUAUUAAAUUUCAAAUUCUAUAAUUUUAAUUUAAAAUUUAAAAUUUUUUAAAUUUUUAAUUUUUAAAUUUUUUAAUUUAAAAUUUCAAAUUUAAAACUGAAAAUUUUGAAGCUUAAAAUUUGAUAUUUGAAAAUUAAAAAUUUAAAUUUAGUAUCUAAAUUUUAAAAAUUUAAAUUUUAAAAUUUUAAAAUUGAAAAUUUAAAAUUUUAAAAAUUCAAAUAUAUAUAACUGAUAAAAGAUUCAAAUAUAUAUAAUUGGUAGUUCCUAGCGCAAGUGGCAAAGAAUUUGGUGGUUCGUAGCUGAGGUCUCAAGUUUAAAUCCUAAUUGAUUUACAUUUCCAGCAGCUAAGUUUAUUUAUAAAAAAAAUAAAUGAAGCGAGUAGCAUGCAUGCUACCUUUAAAAUUUCAGUCCCUAAAAUCAGAUUUUUGUAUUAGUAGCAUUAUAUUUAUGUGUUACUAAUAAGCAACUUAAAAUUAACAUUUAAUCCCUUUUAUUUGCAUGUUCCUAAUGACACUAAUUGAUUUAUAUUAGCAUCAUUUAGCAACAUAAAUAAAUGUCACUAAUGACUAAUUUUCUAAUAGUUACCCUAUAUUUUAUCGUAUAAAAAUAAAAUUAGAGUGACCGAAAGAUAAAAAAAGAGAGAUGCUAGCUAGCUAGCUACAAUACUUGAACACCUUUCUCUCCCCGUAUACUCGUUAAUGUGGUUGAUUUACAAUAAGUAUUCUCACUCGGAUAUAGAAAUUUUAAUUCUUAGUUAAUUCUCCGUAGCACUCAUUUCUCGCCUUUAUCUCAAGAAGCAUUGUUCUAGAGAAUGCACUUACUCCUUACGAAAUUAUACAACGUAAUUUUAUUAUAACCUAAAAUAAAAAAUUUAUACUUCUUUUUAACCAAUUAGAAAUUUUAAAUAUAGAAAUAUAAUAUUAUUUUAUAAUAAAUUAAAAUUUUUUAAAAUAAAAUUAGUGAUGUUAGAUUAAGAAAUACUAAAUAUAAUCUCAUUCUUAAGAUAUCAGCCGCGCACCCUGCUUGCAUAAGCCAUCUAAUCCAUUUGUUAUUUUUCUUUUUAUUUUUUUAAUAUUUUUCUUGAAACUAUCCCUUUAACAUAAUUAAAUAAUUUUUAUAAAAUUUUUUUUUUCCAACAACAAAAUAUUUCUGUUACCCCUGAAUUUUUUGUGGAGUUUCAUUUUACCAUCCAAACAUAUAAAAUGGAUAUCUAAUAUAUAUCCUAAACUCUAAUAUUUUAUUCAUGUUAUCCCUUCCGUCAGUAUUCGAUUAACGGAUCUUGAUGGAAAAGGUAACAUGAAUAAAAUAUUAGAGUUUAGAAUGUUAGUGGCUAUUUUAGAACUUUGGAGUGUAAAGUAAAACUCUG